rnacentral:rRNA from 1 species
AUGCGUAGCCGAGUUGAGAGACUGGCCGGCCACAUUGGGACUGAGACACUGCCCAAACUCCUACGGGAGGCUGCAGUAGGGAAUUUUCCGCAAUGCACGAAAGUGUGACGGAGCGACGCCGCGUGUGUGAUGAAGGCUUUCGGGUCGUAAAGCACUGUUGUAAGGGAAGAAUAACUGAAUUCAGAGAAAGUUUUCAGCUUGACGGUACCUUACCAGAAAGGGAUGGCUAAAUACGUGCCAGCAGCCGCGGUAAUACGUAUGUCCCGAGCGUUAUCCGGAUUUAUUGGGCGUAAAGCGAGCGCAGACGGUUUAUUAAGUCUGAUGUGAAAUCCCGAGGCCCAACCUCGGAACUGCAUUGGAAACUGAUUUACUUGAGUGCGAUAGAGGCAAGUGGAACUCCAUGUGUAGCGGUGAAAUGCGUAGAUAUGUGGAAGAACACCAGUGGCGAAAGCGGCUUGCUAGAUCGUAACUGACGUUGAGGCUCGAAAGUAUGGGUAGCAAACGGGAUUAGAUACCCCGGUAGUCCAUACCGUAAACGAUGGGUGCUAGUUGUUAAGAGGUUUCCGCCUCCUAGUGACGUAGCAAACGCAUUAAGCACCCCGCCUGAGGAGUACGGCCGCAAGGCUAAAACUUAAAGGAAUUGACGGGGACCCGCACAAGCGGUGGAGCAUGUGGUUUAAUUCGAAGAUACGCGAAAAACCUUACCAGGUCUUGACAUACCAAUGAUCGCUUUUGUAAUGAAAGCUUUUCUUCGGAACAUUGGAUACAGGUGGUGCAUGGUCGUCGUCAGCUCGUGUCGUGAGAUGUUGGGUUAAGUCCCGCAACGAGCGCAACCCUUGUUAUUAGUUGCCAGCAUUUAGUUGGGCACUCUAAUGAGACUGCCGGUGAUAAACCGGAGGAAGGUGGGGACGACGUCAGAUCAUCAUGCCCCUUAUGACCUGGGCAACACACGUGCUACAAUGGGAAGUACAACGAGUCGCAAACCGGCGACGGUAAGCUAAUCUCUUAAAACUUCUCUCAGUUCGGACUGGAGUCUGCAACUCGACUCCACGAAGGCGGAAUCGCUAGUAAUCGCGAAUCAGCAUGUCGCGGUGAAUACGUUCCCGGGUCUUGUACACACCGCCCGUCAAAUCAUGGGAGUCGGAAGUACCCAAAGUCGCUUGGCUA